rnacentral:rRNA from 1 species
UAUUAUAUGUGUUUUGAGGGGGCGCAGACGACGCGGCGGCGGGCUAAUACAUGCAAGUCGAGCGGAAAAGAUGGUAUCUGACUCUCUGAGGUCAGUGACGGACGGGUGAGUAACACGUGGGUAACAUGCCUGUAAGACUGGAUAAAUCUGGGAAUCAGCGGCUAAUACCGGGUGUAGAUUGAACCGCGCGUUUAAUUAUAAAAGGUGGCUUUUAGCUAUCACUUACAGAGGGACGCGCGGCGCAGAGAUAUUGGUGAGAGAUAGGCUCACCAACAGCAACGAUGUCUAGCCGACGUGAGAGGGGGAUCUCCCCCACUGGGAAUGAGACACGGCCCAGACUCUCACGGGGGGCAGCGGUGGGGAAUCUUCCGCACUGGAGGAGCGUCUGAGGGAGCAACGCCGCGUGAGUGAUGAAGAUUUUCGGAUGGUAAAAAUCAGUUUCUAGGGAAGAACAAGUACCGUUGGAAUAGGGCGGUACCUUGACGGUACCUAACCAGAAAGCCACGGCUAAAUUCGUGCCAGCAGCCGCGGUAAUAAGUAGGUGGCAAGCGUUGUCUGGAAUUAUUGGGCGUAAAGCGCGCGCAGGCGGUUUCUUAAGUUUGAUGUGAAAGCCCCCGGCUCAACCGGGGAGGGUCAUUGGAAAAUGGGGAACUUGAGUGCAGAAGAGGAGAGUGGAAUUCCACGUGUAGCGGUGAAAUGCGUAGAGAUGUGGAGGAACACCAGUGGCGAAGGGCGGCCCCUGGUCUGUAACUGACGCUGAGGCGCGAAAGCGUGGGGAGCGAACAGGAUUAGAUACCCUGGUAGUCCACGCCGUAAACGAUGAGUGCUAAGUGUUAGAGGGUUUCCGCCCUUUAGUUUUGCAGCAAACGCAUUAAGCACUCCGCCUGGGGAGUACGGUCGCAAGAUUGAAACUCAAAGGAAUUGACGGGGGCCCGCACAAGCGGUGGAGCAUGUGGUUUAAUUCGAAGCAACGCGAAGAACCUUACCAGGUCUUGACAUCCUGUGACAACCCCAGAGAUAGGGCUUCCCCUUCGGGGACUGAGUGACAGGUGGUGCAUGGUGUCGUCAGCUCGGUCUGAGUGU